AACGAACGCUGGCGGCAGGCCUAACACAUGCAAGUCGAACGCUGUAGCAAUACAGAGUGGCAGACGGGUGAGUAACGCGUGGGAACCUUCCCAAUGGUGCGGAAUAGCCCAGGGAAACUUGGGGUAAUACCGCAUAAGCCCUUAGGGGGAAAGAUUUAUCGCCAUUGGAUGGGCCCGCGUCGGAUUAGCUAGUUGGUGAGGUAAUGGCUCACCAAGGCAACGAUCCGUAGCUGGUUUGAGAGAAUGACCAGCCACACUGGGACUGAGACACGGCCCAGACUCCUACGGGAGGCAGCAGUGGGGAAUCUUGGACAAUGGGCGCAAGCCUGAUCCAGCCAUGCCGCGUGAGUGACGAAGGCCUUAGGGUUGUAAAGCUCUUUUGCCGGGGACGAUAAUGACGGUACCCGGAGAAUAAGUCCCGGCUAACUUCGUGCCAGCAGCCGCGGUAAAAC
rnacentral:rRNA from 1 species